GAUCAUGGCUCAGGAUGAACGCUAGCUACAGGCUUAACACAUGCAAGUCGAGGGGCAGCAUGGUCUUAGCUUGCUAAGGCCGAUGGNGACCGGCGCACGGGUGAGUAACACGUAUCCAACCUGCCGUCUAUUCUUGGACAGCCUUCUGAAAGGAAGAUUAAUACAAGAUGGCAUCAUGAGUUCACAUGUUCACAUGAUUAAAGGUAUUCCGGUAGACGAUGGGGA
rnacentral:rRNA from 1 species